GCCAGUCUGCGUGGAGCCAACCUUGAAAUACCACCCUUUAAUGUUUGAUGUUCUAACGUUGGCCCCUGACCGGGGUUGCGGACAGUGUCUGGUGGGUAGUUUGACUGGGGCGGUCUCCUCCCAAAGCGUAACGGAGGAGCACGAAGGUUAGCUAAUCCUGGUCGGACAUCAGGAGGUUAGUGCAAUGGCAUAAGCUAGCUUGACUGCGAGCGUGACGGCGCGAGC
rnacentral:rRNA from 1 species